AUCCGUAUAGCGAUCAGUCUAUGGAAAAAUUCUAAAAUGCAAUGGGUAUAUUAGUGACGUGGCGUAACAAACCAAUCAAAUUAAUCCUUUUAAGAAUAUAUGUCCCAUCAUGAUUGUAAAAAAAUAUUUUUAUUGUACUUUUGUUUGAAAAGAAGAAAUGUGAUUAGCAUGUUAUUGAUGAUGUGGUGCAAGUGUGACAGCGUAGAAUUCGUCCCGUCUAUGG
rnacentral:lncRNA from 1 species